rnacentral:lncRNA from 1 species
UUUGCUCCACCUGGCAGCCGUAUUUCAGUAAGAAGAUUCAUGUGGAGCGUCUGGCUCAGUGCCUGGUCUGUCAUGGGAACUUAAAAGGUAGUCCUUUUACAUUCUGAUUUUGCAUGUUAUCAGCAAAUGGGGUUAUGUCUCUCACUCCUUACCUACCCUGAUCGUUGUGAGAGUUGGACCAAGUAAGGUCCCGAAACCAAGGCCCUGUAGUCCAGCUUCCUGCUCCCUGACAGCCAUUCUUAUUCUUAUUUUUAUUAUUCCUUGUUCUCCCCAUCCUUGAAUGCCAUUGGCGCACAACUGAAUAAAGCCAGUUUCCCAGGCUCCAGCCCUCCCUCUCUCUUUCUGUUGAAGGCUCCCUCCUGCUUCUGAAAGGGGGUUUCCGGCAGAGGAGCACCCCUCAGGCUGAGCAGGAGGGGCAGCCCCCUCUCAACUCUGCUGCUUUGGAGGGUCUGGCUUCAAAGACCUGGAGAUGGCACUAAAGAUCGAGAGGCCUUGGAGGAGGGGACGCCGUCCACAGACCUAGCUGGAAGGAUUAUUGAUGGAUUCAAGGAGACCACGUGCUUUUAAGUGGGGUCCAAAAGAAAUACAACGCCAGUCACAGAUGUAAUUUUAUGUUUUCUAGUAGCUACGUUAUAAAAAGCAAAAAAGAAACGUGGCGGACUUUUUGUUGCUGUAAAAACACAUUACAUUAAAUUUACCAUCUUAAUC